AUUGAACGCUGGCGGUAUGCCUUACACAUGCAAGUCGAACGGCAGCACGGGAGCAAUCCUGGUGGCGAGUGGCGAACGGGUGAGUAAUAUAUCGGAACGUGCCCAGUCGUGGGGAUAACGUAGCGAAAGCUACGCUAAUACCGCAUACGAUCUAUGGAUGAAAGCGGGGGAUCGCAAGACCUCGCGCGAUUGGAGCGGCCGAUAUCAGAUUAGGUAGUUGGUGAGGUAAAGGCUCACCAAGCCGACGAUCUGUAGCUGGUCUGAGAGGACGACCAGCCACACUGGGACUGAGACACGGCCCAGACUCCUACGGGAGCAGCAGUGGGAAUUUUGGACAAUGGGCGCAAGCCUGAUCCAGCAAUGCCGCGUGCAGGAUGAAGGCCUCGG
rnacentral:rRNA from 1 species